AUUUGUCCAAAGUCAUGCAAAUCCUUUUUAAAGUCUGGACUUAAAUUGAAAGUCACUACACUGCCAUUGUCAUAGAAUUGAUAUGAUUAUCAAUCCCUGAAAAAUCAGUGAAUGGAUUCUGUAAAUGGCUGUAAGGUGAAUUUCCUAACCUUACUCUUUCUUAAUGGUCAAGUUAGCCAUUGGAAUGUUUGAGGUAGUUAGCCUUAAUACUUUCAAUUCUGAUCAUUUAACUCACUCAUUUUUUUUUUCUCUAAGGUAGAAUCACAGCAGGCAAGCAGGGGAAGUCAGAAUGACUUUCUUGUCUUCCAUCUUUCUAUCUCCUCAGUCCCUCAUAACAUUGCUGAGUUUGGUAAUAAAAGAGAAGAAAAGGUCCCAACAAAGACCACUAUAUAUGAUAAUUCUUCUAGGAACUAUGAAAUUGGAAUUGAAAUUUUCACUUUUAACAGAAAAAUAGUUGCAUCUAUUUUCCAGAGUUUUUGCAGUAAUCCUCAGUCUAUAACCCAAUCAUAUAUAGAGGGAAAGAUGAUCAAGAUGAUCCAUGAGCAUCAGUGUCCUUCUGCUUACCCAUAUCAAAAUGAUGAUACAUCUCAUGUCUGGGAACAUCCGAAGCCUGAAGGACAGGCAACAUCAGAGUAACUGCUCCUAUUUGAUAUGAAUAUCAACAUUAACAUGUAGCCUCUACUCUGGAUUUCUGUUGCUAAAUAAAACCUUUAAAUUCAAUUGUCUGUGGACUCUG
rnacentral:lncRNA from 1 species